AGUGAACGCUGGCGGUAGGCCUAACACAUGCAAGUCGAACGGCAGCACAGUAAGAGCUUGCUCUUACGGGUGGCGAGUGGCGGACGGGUGAGGAAUACAUCGGAAUCUACUUUUUCGUGGGGGAUAACGUAGGGAAACUUACGCUAAUACCGCAUACGACCUACGGGCGAAAGCAGGGGAUCUUCGGACCUUGCGCGAUUGAAUGAGCCGAUGUCGGAUUAGCUAGUUGGCGGGGUAAAGGCCCACCAAGGCGACGAUCCGUAGCUGGUCUGAGAGGAUGAUCAGCCACACUGGAACUGAGACACGGUCCAGACUCCGACGGGAGGCAGCAGUGGGGAAUAUUGGACAAUGGGCGCAAGCCUGAUCCAGCCAUACCGCGUGGGUGAAGAAGGCCUUCGGGUUGUAAAGCCCUUUUGUUGGGAAAGAAAAGCAGCAGGUUAAUACCCCGCUGUUCUGACGGUACCCAAAGAAUAAGCACCGGCUAACUUCGUG
rnacentral:rRNA from 1 species